rnacentral:tRNA from 1 species
GGCCCUGUCGUUCAACGGAUAGGACGUCGGUCUUCGGAACCGGCUAUGGGAGUUCGAAUCUCUCCAGGGCUA